GGGGGGGGGGGGGGGGGGGGGGGGGGGGGGGGGGGGGGGGGGGGGGGGGGGGGGGGGGGGGGGGGGGGGGGGGGGGGGGGGGGGGGGGGGGGGGGGGGGGGGGGGGGGGGGGGGGGCCCCCCCUGCCACACCUUCCACCAUCCCAGGCUGCUCCCAGCCCUGUAGAACCUGGCCUGGGACAUUUCCAGGGAUCCAGCAUUAUUCCGGACUGCAGCAGAGACAAACAAUAAAUUUAAACACAGUACUCCUUAAAAAAAGUUUACUGUCUAAAAUGAAAAUUCAAAUGGUUUAUUAAAAUUUAACAUUUUCCAUUUUGGCUUUUUCUAAAGAAACAAUUUAUUCCUUGUGAAAAAUCAACUAAAAGGUAAUUUCAUUUUACUGUACUGAACUCAAGUUAAACAUAAAGCACAAAGAACUUUACAUUAAACUGGGCUUUGCAUACAACAAGAAUGAUCAGAAAUAGACUAUUUUGAGGAAUAAAAAGUUGUGGGUUGUUUUUUGUUCAUCUAGACAACAUGCAUACCGUCAGUUACUUCGCAAUCUUAAAAGGUACCUGAAAGGAGAGUUUUGUAUAACAAAACCAAGACUCAUUAAUACACUUUGUAAGUCAGUGGUCAUCAUGCCUUUUUACUUAAAUUCUAGUAAAGUUUAGUCUACAUAGAACAGAUCGGAAGGGGGGGGGGGGGGGGGGGGGGGGGGGGGGGGGGGGGGGGGGGGGGGGGGGGGGGGGGGGGGGGGGGGGGGGGGGGGGGGGGGGGGGGGGGGGGGGGGGGGGGGGGGGGGGGGGGGGGGGGGGGGGGGGGGGGGGGGGGGGGGGGGGGGGGGGGGGGGGGGGGGGGGGGGGGGGGGGGGGGGGGGGGGGGGGGGGGGGGGGGGGCCAUGAAAAAACACCCAAAUAUCCAACCUAAACCUCCCCUGCUGCAAUUUGAGGCCAUUCCCAAGCCACGAUCCCUCAGGAUCCAGGAGGAGGGAGCUGGAAUUUUUAACACACCCCCCCCCCCGGGGGGGGGGGGGGGGGGGGGGGGGGGGGGGGGGGGGGGGGGGGGGGGGGGGGGGGGGGGGGGGGGGGGGGGGGGGGGGGGGGGGAAUUUUUAA
rnacentral:lncRNA from 1 species